rnacentral:rRNA from 1 species
CGGACGGGUGAGUAAUGUCUGGGAAACUGCCCGAUGGAGGGGGAUAACUACUGGAAACGGUAGCUAAUACCGCAUAACGUCGCAAGACCAAAGAGGGGGACCUUCGGGCCUCUUGCCAUCAGAUGAACCCAUAUGGGAUUAGCUAGUAGGUGGGGUAACGGCUCACCUAGGCGACGAUCCCUAGCUGGUCUGAGAGGAUGACCAGCCACACUGGAACUGAGACACGGUCCAG